CAGGACGAACGCUGGCGGCGUGCCUAACACAUGCAAGUCGAGCGGAGAUUCAAGGAGCAGCUUGCUGCACUUUGAAUCUUAGCGGCGGACGGGUGAGUAACGCGUGGGUAAUCUGCCUCAAACAGGGGGAUAACACAGGGAAACUUGUGCUAAUACCGCAUAAGACCCCAUCAUGGCAUCAUGUUAUCAAAGGAAGAAAUUCCGGUUUGAGAUGAGCCCGCGUCUGAUUAGCUAGUUGGUGAGGUAACAGCUCACCAAGGCGACGAUCAGUAGCCGAACUGAGAGGUUGAUCGGCCACAUUGGGACUGAGACACGGCCCAGACUCCUACGGGAGGCAGCAGUGGGGAAUAUUGCACAAUGGGGGGAACCCUGAUGCAGCGACGCCGCGUGAAGGAAGAAGGCCUUCGGGUUGUAACUUCUUUGAUUGGGGACGAAUAA
rnacentral:rRNA from 1 species